rnacentral:lncRNA from 1 species
GAGGCCCCCUAGCUCACAGCCAGCCCUCCGAGUCCUCACAAACUAUCACAAGCUGGCUCUUGCCUCAGGCAGUGGUGGCAUCCUGAUUCAUAUGACUUCUUUGGGCCUUCUUCCUACCUGCUGGCACACGCUGUAGCUUUUCUUGCCAAAGCGAUCCACAAAUCCCCAGUCUACCUCGAAGCUCAGAGAAGUCAGAUGGCUGACUGCCUUCUUCCAAGAUAUGGAUGGGAGCUUCCAGCACUUUGGGGAAACAGCAUCCAUUAUUCUAUGGAGAUGUUCUGUAACAAUGCCAUCUCCACAAAGAACUCACUGCCUCAGAGGUUUUCUAAGGUGGUGAUUAAACAUUUGCUACGUUGUAAUUUCCCA